AACGAACGCUGGCGGCAUGCCUAACACAUGCAAGUCGAACGAGACCUUCGGGUCUAGUGGCGCACGGGUGCGUAACGCGUGGGAACCUGCCCUUAGGUUCGGAAUAACUCCCCGAAAGGGGUGCUAAUACCGGAUAAUGUCUUCGGACCAAAGAUUUAUCGCCUUUGGAUGGGCCCGCGUUGGAUUAGCUAGUUGGUAGGGUAAAAGCCUACCAAGGCGACGAUCCAUAGCUGGUCUGAGAGGAUGAUCAGCCACACUGGGACUGAGACACGGCCCAGACUCAUAGGGGAGGAAGCGGGGGGAAAUAUUGAAAAAGGGGGAAAACCCGGACCCAGCAUUGCCGGGGGGGGGAGGAGGCCUUUGGGGUUGAAAAGCUUUUUUCACGGGGAUAAUAAGGACAGCACGGGAAAAAAAAGCCCCGGCUAACCCCGUG
rnacentral:rRNA from 1 species